rnacentral:rRNA from 1 species
UACGACGGGGGCUAGCGUUGCUCGGAAUCACUGGGCGUAAAGCGCACGUAGGCGGAUUCUUAAGUCAGGGGUGAAAUCCCGGAGCUCAACUCCGGAACUGCCUUUGAUACUGAGAGUCUCGAGUUCGGGAGAGGUGAGUGGAACUGCGAGUGUAGAGGUGAAAUUCGUAGAUAUUCGCAAGAACACCAGUGGCGAAGGCGGCUCACUGGCCCGAUACUGACGCUGAGGUGCGAAAGCGUGGGGAGCAAACAGG